rnacentral:lncRNA from 1 species
GAAUUUUGUAAGCUCUUUAACGUUACUUUCGACAGUAAAAUGCGUGUCACGAUAACCGUUUAAUUAUCUCAGAAAUCCGUUUUUUUUGUUGUUGUUUAGUUUUAAAAUCCGGAAUCUAUAAAAGCGCAAAGAGUGUAUAAAAAAGGAGAAACGUGAUCGAAGUCCGAUAUCCAGUCAACAAGUUCUUGGACAAAUGAACCCAGAUUUGAGUGGAUACGUGAUACACGCAUAUCCAAUAUAAGAAUCAAAGAAGACGUGACCAUUUGCAACAGACCGGAAAGGAAUCAAUGUAUAAAAAUGGAAGCUGUAACGUCUUACUUUACUCUUCUAUCUAUCUAUCGAAGCUUGGAAGGAUUAACUCUGAUUAAGAACCGGAUAAUUUCACCUGUAGAAAAGGCGCCUCUGGGAGAUAAAACUCACGAUUUAUUUAUCGACGCGUGAAUUCGAACAAAAAUCACUUCGCUGUCCUGUCUAAUGGACAGAUCUACUUCAUCCCAACAACCAAACUUUGGCCAUUACAAGCCACUAGGGAGUACAAUCGACAAGUCGCUGCAUUUGGGCGAUUUGGAUGACUUCAUAACUGCACUCCCAUUUCUUGUCCAAGUCUGUUACGUUGUCAUACUUCACUCGGCUUCAGUUGACUUGUCAAAAGAAGUGGAAACAAAAUUCUUCUUUCUAGAAAGAGAGAAAAGAAGAUGUAAAAGAAAAAAAAUAACAACAAAAUAACAAUUUAAAUUCGACUUCUUCUUAAUAAUCCCUACGACAUAAAAGAAGGAUAUACGGUUAUUGUUAUCGUGUAGAUUCUGUGAAAGACCCCCUUUUUUUUCUUUACGUAAAAGUCAUAAAUGUUUAUCUUUCUGUUCCACCUGUUGUUUUGAUCGCAUUCUAUAGGGAAAAAAUUGAUAAAUUUACGAACUUUUACUUCCAUAUAUCUCGACAGACUUUCUCGACAGCAUCCCAAGACGAUCGCCAUUCAGAUACUCGGACACUGCAGAAAUAUCAGUUUUUUUAUUAUUAUUAUUUUUUUUCUAUUUAAAUACUAGACGAAUUAAUUUUCGCCUCUUUUACCGGUUGAAAAACAUCAGUGUAAUAAAUUAUUUUCUAGCCAUAUUUACGACGUAUUGCAGGCAUGGCGAGAGAAAGUCUAAUUAUUUAACACACAAUCAAAUCCGCUGACAAAGACGACCAGGGAUAAAAAUGCCUAGAUAAUAGAGAAUAAAUCAUAAGCGUGUUGAGAUCUUCCUUUAACAUGCAAAUUUCCUUAAAGAAAACUAUUCACGUGAGAAUUGCAACCUUGUGCAUGAUGUGAUUUAUAGAAGCGAAUAGUUUACUUAUGAAAUAAUAAUUAAAACUUUUAAAUCGCUUCUCUACCGUAGAAUGAUUAUCUCUCUCUCUCUCUCUCUGUUUUUAAGCGAUUUUUAUUAGUAUGGCGAAUAAACUACUUACUUUCCAUUAAUUAAAAGUUAAAUAUUGGCUCAUCUUCAUUUUUAUUCUUCAGAGAAGAAGAGAGAGAAAGAGAGAGAGGAAAAAAAAUUAGCAGUCGUUACUUACAAUCCGUUGCUCUUGUAAUUCAUUUAAACAUCGGGGUCAGAGUUUUAUCGCUCAAACGUCAUAUUUUUGUCUUCGGAGGUCAUAACGUUAUCUUUAGUAGACCCUAAGUGCCUGUGUCCCUGCCACUAAGUGUGCAUAAAACCGACAAAACGAACUGCGUGUCACUGUGUCGUUCAAUCACUCCCGUGACACUAUCUCCUUAUUGUCAGACGAGUAAACAGCGCUCGUUCCCCCCCCUCUCUCUGUCAUUACACUUAGCAAAUCGCCCGGAAUAAUUUUCAUUCUUGUUCUAUAGAGAAUGAAUGGAAAGUCGGCAAUACCCUCGAGAAUGUUUGUAAGCAUCAAAGGACGAUUUGUAUGGCAAACUCAGCUCAUCUUUACAGGUGCUAAUUACGUAGCCAUCUUUUGCCUAUCUGGACGAAUCCAUCCGUAGCGUCGAAGCAUCUCUUUCCUCUUGCAGGAUUUGAUCCCUCAGGCGGAUAAACCAAUUUAAACGGGUCGGAUAUAAUACACUUUUUAACGCUAAAGUCGAUGAUUCUCUUGCCUGCUAAUUUGUUUAAUACCGGCUUUGCGGUUUGAUAGCGAAAUUUGCAGUAAUGUUUGGAAUGGUAGAAAUUUAAUUACUGCGCCAAAAUUAGUUUGAAUUUAAAGUUAAGC